UACAGGGGGGGCAAGCGUUGUUCGGAAUUACUGGGCGUAAAGGGUCUGUAGGUGGCCAACUAAGUCAGACGUGAAAUCCCUCAGCUUAACUGGGGAACUGCAUCUGAUACUGGAUGGCUUGAGUGUGGGAGAGGAAUGCGGAAUUCCAGGUGUAGCGGUGAAAUGCGUAGAUAUCUGGAGGAACACCGGUGGCGAAGGCGGCACUCUGGGCCGGUACUGACGCUGAGGAGCGAAAGCGUGGGGAGCAAACAGG
rnacentral:rRNA from 1 species